rnacentral:tRNA from 2 species
GCGCACAUAGCUCAGCUGGAUAGAGCACAAGCCUUCUAAGCUUGGGGUCGCAGGUUCAAGUCCUGCUGUGCGCGCCA